rnacentral:rRNA from 1 species
AGGACGAACGCUGGCGGCGUGCUUAACACAUGCAAGUCGAGCGGAAAGGCCCUUCGGGGUACUCGAGCGGCGAACGGGUGAGUAACACGUGAGCAACCUGCCCUCAGCUCUGGGAUAGCUCCCGGAAACGGGAAUUAAUACCGGAUAUGACCCCAACCGACAUCGGUCAGGGUGGAAAGGAUUCCGGCUGAGGAUGGACUCGCGGCCUAUCAGCUAGUUGGUGGAGUAACGGCCCACCAAGGCGACGACGGGUA